UGGGGAAUAUUGGGCAAUGGGCGCAAGCCUGACCCAGCAACGCCGCGUGAAGGAAGAAGGCCCUCGGUUGUAAACUUCUUUUAUUCGGGACGAAACAAAUGACGGUACCGAAUGAAUAAGCCACGGCUAACUACGUGCC
rnacentral:rRNA from 1 species